UUUAUUUGCCACUAGAAUUAGUUUUGGAAGAGAUAUUUUAGUGUCAAGUGUCAUGGCAUUAUUGGUUGAUAGUUAUUUAGGGUUUUAAUCAAUUUGAAUAUAAAUAUCAAAGUUUCCCUAGUAGGUUACAAUGAAAAGAAAAAAAAUACAACAGAUUCUUUUUGGCAUUUCACAUAAAUAAUUAAAGAUAGUUAAGAAAUUCUUUAGCACCGAUUGGUUUGGAUAUUUCGGGUUCGUGUUCAUAUUACUAGCAUUUUGAGGUAAGCGCAAUACAAACCAAAAUUUUAUUUGUUUAUAUUUUUUUAUUUGGGUGUUCUUAUUCAAAUCCAUGUUUAUGUUAUUUUUAUCAAAUGGUUGAUAUGUGGUGGUUUUGAUUGAAGUCAAUUAUUAAUAAUGAUUUUUUUUGAUAUUAUUGUAUGAGAAUGAUUGUGAUUUGGGCUACGGUCCAUGGGCAGCGACCCCUAAAAGUCUUUGGUCUACCUUGGCGUGAGCAGAUUUCGCUACGGUCUAUGGGAAGCGACCUCUAAAUACGUUUUGAUGGUCAGUUAUCUUUGGGGCUCCCUGGAGCGAGCGGAUUGAUCGAAUUUAUUAAUAUUUAUGGAUGUGGUGUUUCCAUGUGCUUGCGGUGUUGUUAAUCAUGAUUUGAUGCAUGACAAGGAGUUGAUCAACGUGGAACCUAAAGAGUAAUUUGAAGUCCUUAAGAUUAUUGUUUAUGCGUAAAAUUCUAGUUCAAAGAUGUUAAUUAGUCUUAGAUUUAAAGCAGUAAAAUAUCGUAUGAUGUUGAGUUGACUGAAUGUCAUUCUAAAUCCCUAAUAGAUUUUGAUAUGAUUCUUUUUGUAAUUAACUAAAAACAUCUUAUGGGACAUUUGGUAAAAAUUGUAGAAUUUUCUUAGUAGUAUAAAUAUUUUUAAAAUAAUUCUUUGUACAUGUGUUAAAUCCAGUAAAUAUUUGACAUAUAUAAAUGUCUUGUGAAUAUCCUAUUUUAAAACUAUUAUAAGCUGAUUUUUAGAUCUUAGUGUCUUAUGGGGAAAUUAAUAUCUAUCUUUUAGAUUUCUAAAAUGACAAGCCUCAUGUAAUUAUGAGUCUCUUGUGAUUUUAUAUCAUUUUUCUAAAACAGAGUAUCACAGUUUUGUUUUCUUGUAGUGCUGAUCAACUACGAGUUUGACCGUGGUCUUAGUCUUUUAAACUUCAUUUAUAAAUUUUAGAAAAUUUAUAACCAAUAGUAUUUACAGUUCUGAUUAAUCCGUAUAAAUAUCAUAAAUUUUGGAACUCGUAUGAAGCCUGUAAAAUUCUAGGAAUCUACCUUGGUCUGUUUUCAGUUUUACAAUUUGGUGUUGAAAUCGUUACUUAUUAAUCUUAAAACUUGAACGAUGUUAGUAUUUUUAUUUGAGAAUUAAAAUGUGUUUUGUUUACGCUGGCUUCAAAAUUAGGGUAAAUCAACAAUUAGAUUAUCCUAAAUCAUUUUCUAAGUGUUCCGCUGCGAAUGAAUUGUUAAAAUGAACAUAAAUUAAAUAAGCCCAAAUAAAUUAUUCAACGAGCUUGGGCUUACUAGUCGGGCUUCGGCUAUGGUAUCCAAGUAGCACUUUGGGUUUUCGGGUAUGGGAUCCGGACAUGACUCGGACACGAAAAUCGGAGUGUUAAAAUUUGGUAUCAGAGCAGCGAUUAGAUCCUUCGGGAACUAGUUGUUGCACAAACAAUUAAUAAAUGUUAAUUGUGUUCGAUAUAGUUGUUUGUUGAAUUUUUUUGUCGUUAUGUAACCUUAAAUUUAUAGGACUAAAUUUCUUGAAGUGUGUGAGGUUGUAAUAUCCACCACAAUUUUUAAGGGAAAUUUUGUCUUUUACAAAUAAAAGGUAAUUUUGUAAUUUACUAUUUUGAUUUAGAUAUUCACUUUGCAUACCUCAUUGUGAAUUUUAUGAUAUUAAUUAGCCUUCAUAAGAA